GCCGGGUGUGGUGGCGGGCGCCUGUAGUCCCAGCUACUUGGGAGGCUGAGGCAGGAGAAUUGCUUGAACCUGGGCGAUGGAGGUUGCAGUGAGCCAAGAUUGCGCCACUGUACUCCAGCCUGGGUGACAGAGCAAGACUCUGUCUCGG
ensembl:misc_RNA Metazoa_SRP Metazoan signal recognition particle RNA